GUUGUAUAUCUUAGUUGCAGGUCCUUCUAGUUGUGGGAUGUGGGACACUGCCUCAACGUAGCCUGAUGAGCGGUGCCAUGUCCGUGCCCAGGAUCCCAACCCUGGGCCGCCGCAGCGGAGUGCACGAACUUAACCACUCGGCCACGAAGCCGGCCCCUCUUCCUGCCUUUUGAGGGGAGAGAGUAGCAUAAAUCUAAAUGCAUGUUGGGUAAAAGGUAUUCUGUUUUCCAAGACAGGAACUGUAUAAUCUGGAUCUGACAAUACUCAAAGCUGCCGCCGGUGAUUUUUUUCCCUAAAAUUCAUUCCCACCGCCCAGUUCCUCCCCGCGUGUAAAGCCAGUGCUGCCCUAGCGGCGGCUCCCUCAGCACGUCACCGUCACCCUCGGGCCACAUCGCCCAACACGGCUUUGUAUUCCUGCUGGUCAGCAUCAGCUCAUAACCCAGAAAUUCCUUAUUAAAUAUGGAAAUUAAAAUGGCUUUCCUGCUCCGUUAUCUCCGUUUCCUGUCACGUAAAUCAGGCGCUUUAAGGAUGCUCUCUACGACGCCUUCCAGCUGCCAAGACUGCUGGCCUCUGUUUUGUCAGAUGGGCCGGGCUGUGACUGCAGCUAUGCCCCCAAACAGCAAGCCAUCCUUCUAACACAAACGUUAUCCAUUUCAUUCAUUAGCUUAAUAAAUGCUGUGGCGAGAGUGACUGAAUUAAUUAAUGAGCGCCUCCUGGGUUCUGGCCCCUGGGAACACGCAGAUAAAUAAGACAGCUUCUGCCUGUGGAGCCCACACUCUGAAAGGGGACGCUGACGCAUAAACAGAUGUGCUGCUCAGUUUCACUUUGUUUUCAGUUAGUUUUACUUAUUAGGAUCAUAAAAACUUUAAUUUAUUCAGUGCCUACCCUGUGUCAAGUACGCUGUGGGGUGUUACAGAGCGAAUCCUCAUACUGGCUCUACAAAGAAGGUAUUAUUGACGCUAUUUUAAAGGUGUGUAAAUGAAGGCCAGCGAGUGACAGCACCUGGGUUUGGUUGACUCCUCGUCACCUGUGUGAUACAACUUUCAUGAGCGUUGCUGUUCCCGGAGAGCAGAGCUGGCUGGCACCGCGACCUGACCUCAGUGAAAGGCUGCGAGUGUGCUUGAUUAUGUUUUCAAUCCGCUCACUUAACCAACGGUUAUUGGGCAACUUCUCAACAUCCAACCCACACCGGACACUGGGGAUAAAAUUUAAAAGCUAAGCACUCUUCCAACCUGCUCCUGACGCAGGCAGUUUUAGUGAAGGAGAAAGAAGUGUCACUAAUAAUUACCAUGAAAUGGGACCAAUACUACGAUGUAAUAGCAGAGUGCCCCAGGAUUCCAGAGGACAGAGCGUCACCUCUGGGCUGGAGCAGGCAGCGAAGGCGGCCAUUGAGCUGAGUCUCGAAGGAUGGAUAGGAGUUUACCAGGCGGAAGGAAGGAGAAGGACGUCCCAAGCGGAGGGAACACAAAGCGCGCCAGUCUAAGGAUGUGGAGAGAAUGCUGCAUUGGGGAACGAAGAGAAUCGGUGUGCUGAGAGCAGGGGGGGCGAGCGAGACUCGAGGACGAUGGAGCUGGCUGGAGAGGUCGGCGGGUGGUGAUGCUGUUAACUGAAGUGGGAAGAGGACCUCUUUGCUCAUGACGGGCAGAGAAGGUGUCUGGACAGGAGGACUUGGCGUAUUUGUCGGAAACGUCCAGGUGAAGUCUCGUUCAGAACUAUCCUAUGACUGAGGGAGAUUUUUCUGGGGGGAUAGUGACAUCAUCUGAUUCGUCUUUUAACCGGGGAGCCCUGGCUAUACAUCAGAACAGCACGGGGAGCUGUAAAAAAUCCUGAUGCCUAACGCUGCACACCAGAUCAAUUACACAAGAAUUCCUGGGAGUGGGACCCAGGCGUUGGCAUUUUUAAAAACUCUCCAACUGAUUCCAAGGUGCAGCCAAGGUUGAGACCCACUGGUGCGGAGAAUACUUCCAGAGAAGAAAGAAUUGGCGGCUGGGAGGCCAGUUGGCGGACUGACUACUGGGAAGGCCUGCAGGACACUGCCAGGGCGGUGGUCCUGGAACUUCAGUGUCAGGGUCACCAGGAGGGCUUGUUAAAACACAGACUCUCGGGGCCCCCGCCCCCAGCUUCAGGCUCGGCAGGUCUGGGGUGGGCCCAAGAAUGUGCAUUUUGAACCUUUUCCCGAGUGAGGCUGUGCUGCCGGCACAGGGCCUACACGCUGAGAUGCAAAGGUCUGUGGGCUGGCAGUGGAGACGGAGAGGAGGACACACACCGCAAGGUGUUUUGGCGGCAGGGAGAGGGGGUCAGGCAACUGGGCGGGUGGUGAUGCUGUUAACUGAAGUGGGAAGAGGACCUCUUUGCUCAUGACGGGCAGAGAAGGUGUCUGGACAGGAGGACGACGUAUUUGUCGGAAACGUCCAGGUGAAGGCACCUCGGCGGCAGCUGGGAAUACUUUUCCAGCCAUCAGGAAGAAGUAGGCAAACUUGGGGACAAAUCAGGACCUCAGAUUUAGUCUAAAUUCAAGGUAAAUAUGGACCGAUGACUGUAUAUAGCUUGAGAAUAUAUAUUGCUUCUAUUGGAGCCAUUUUUUUCUGGUGACAAUGCGUUUAAUCCAUAAGAGACUAUGAUGAUUUUUUUUUAGCCACUCUGUGAAAAAAAGACCCACAUUAUACACGAGAUAUUAAAGCUGGUUGUUAAGUAUACGUAGGUCAGAUGUUUGAAUUGCCUCCACCAGGGUUUUUCCAUUUAUCUUCACACGUGAAUUUGAAAAGCAAAUGUCACCUUAUUUCUUUAUUAUAUUGAUGGUUAUCAUGUUUUCCGCUUAUUCGUGAGGAGAGUCCACGGCGUCUGGCUGAGCCUCAGUUUCCCCAGUGGUAAACAAAGGGAUUGGAUUAGUGACGGCCAAGGACCUUUCUAACCCCAGUGUUCUGUGAGUUUGCCUUCGAUUCUGUGUCAGUUUUGCCAGAAAGAUCUCCAGGAGCUGGUAACACCCGGAAAGUUUUUUUGCCUGUUUUAAUUUAACUUUUUUAGAGUACAUUUCUAUCAAAAAAUAGUAAGGCCCUAUUGUCAGAGCUGUGUCUUAAAGGCAUUUCUAAACUUGUUUCUUUUUCCUCACUUGACAAGUGCUGUCUCGGGGCUCCAUCACUCCUGGACUAACAGCUACCAAUAAACAGAAGAUGAUUUCCAACCAGCUAACACGCUGUUUACUUUCCAGAGAAAUUGGACUUUCCACUCUGACAGUUAAAAGAAAACUGUGAUGAUUCAGGAAUUUGCCCCUCGGGACAGGUGAUCCCAACCUUGGGUCAGGAGUGUAGGCUGACGUUCCACAGCAUCAUCUCACUUCCCUGGCUAGUGGUUUAAGAGUGGACGUGUGACAGUCUCAUGGUGAGAUGUGAAGACAAUGGUGCUGUCUUCUAAAAAGAAGCCCACAGGAAGAGAUAUCUCUUCUUCAACUGGAUCUUAUUGGACCUCAAGCGAUGCCUGGAACAGGGGCAGCAUCUUGUGACCACGAUAGGAACCUGGAAACUGAGGUGAUGAAGGUCACUGAAGAUGCAGUGAAGAAAGAUGGAAGGAACCUGGGUUGUUGAUGCUGUCGCUGACCCAUCAGGUUAAUCAAUGUUGGAACGCCUACUUCUAGACUUCUGAAGUGAAAUAAUAUCCUCGUGGAUUAAGCCAUUGAAUUGGGGUUUUCAAUUUCUUACAGCCCAAAACAUCCUGUCCCUUCUGUCUUUCUCUCACAUGAGGCUGUCUUCUUUUCACCCCCAUGACUGCCUGCCUGGCAGAUUAACUGUCACCUCUUCUAUGAUAGGGCAGACUGGUAUGUCAUCACUGGAUCUUGCAUUUAUUUCCAUCUAACUCUCCAUUAGACGAUAAGAUCCUUGGGGGAACUUUAAUUUUUGUAUUUCUAGUGUCUAGAUGUUUGCUGAAUGAAUUAAUGAAUACAUGGGAAGGAUUACUUCAUAUCUUGGUUCAGUUUUGGGCUCCAACAAGAUUUUCUUGUAAUAUCCAAUGACAAUUCUUAUAAUAGAAACAAUUGUUUACAAAGACGUUAACAAACUUAAAUGAAUUCAUUAAGAGAGAGAGCACCUCAGAUCUUUACUAGGUGCCCAUUAAUCUACACACGGAUAGAGAGGAGUGAGAAGGAGAAAAUGUGGGCAGACUCACAGAGGAUGGACUGAGAGAAACCACUCUGGGAAUUCAUUUAUGAAAAGUGUCAAGAGUAACAAAAAGAUGUCAAUCCUCUGCUUCAAUGUAACCUUCAGGAAAAGACCUUCUGAGCGUCGGGUCUAAGAAAUGUAACUGCUCAGCACUAUUUAUUUUCUUCCGGAAGGCAACCUCCACUGGAUGCUCCCAGAGAUUUCUUUUUAAAAAGGCAAAACCUUUUGAGAAUAACUCCAAGGUGGUAUUAGAGGUGCACUAAAACCUCAAGAAAUGUUAGAUAUCAUGACCAACUCUCAUAAAAAUCCCACCCCCUCUGUCAGCCCUGUUCAACAACACUUUCUGCAAUGAUGGAAAUUUCUACAUCUGCAUCGUGCAUCGUGGCAGCCACGAGCCCCACGUGGCUAUUGAGCCCUUAAAAUGUGGUUAGUGUGACUGGGGAACUGAAUUUUUAACUUAAUUAAAUUUAAAUUUAAAUAUAAAUCGUAACAUGAAGCUAGUAACUACCAUGUCGGACAGUGCGGGGCUGUGUUUUGUGUGGCCCAGUACUAGUCAGGAUAGGCUUGGCUAUAUACUGCAGUAAUAAAUAACCCCCAAAUAUUAGUGGCUUGAAAUAAAGUUUUAUUUCUCCUUCCCACUCUACAUUCAUCACAUGUCAUCGAGGGGUUCUGCUCCACAUCUUCUCCUUUUGGGACCAUCUUGAAUGUUGCUGCUCACUAUAACAGAGGGAAAAACAAAAAGAAAUCUGGACGGGCUUGUACUGGCAAUCAAAGGAAUGCUUGGCUCAGAAGUGACACAUAUCACUUCCACUCAUUGGCCAGCUCAUCGUGCAGCCUUGUCCUCCCACCAGAGGGCCAGGAAAUGCCACCCAAUUAUGGAGCCCGGGAGGCAAAAAUACUAGGUGAGUAGCACUAGUGAUGGAAUAAAUAAGCAUCACUAAAAUAACUAAUACAUCAAAUUGAACAGAAAGAAAUUAGGUCUUUAAAAGUCAGGUGCACGUCUAUACAAGAGAACCAACAGAAAAACGUGGGAGGAAAAAAAUAUGCACAAACACCAGGAAUGCUCCUUUUACAAAAGCAAGGAAGGAAGGAAGAUUGGAAUGAUGGUUUGAUGUUUUAUAUAUAAUUUUUAUUAAGCUUUUGAAUAGGUAAAUCCAUUAACUAAAGGAGAAAAAGAAGGAAGCCCAAGCAUCCUUUAUCUUCCAUUAUAAUUAAAGAGGGUAGUUUUGUCAAUUUAUAUUUUUAAAACAAUCCUUGAAAAAACAAGUCUACCCACUCUUGCCACAAUAGAAUCUUACUGAAAUUCCAAGUAUAGUCUAGCCACAGCUGUUCAAAAGUCUUUAUUAGACAAUCUCGGAAUGAGACGGGACCUUAGAGGUCAGCUGUUCCAAUCUCCAAAACGGGCCUCCCUCCUACAGCUUUCCAUAUAUUCGGGGUGCAGAGGAAGUCCACUACUGCGUGGGAGCUCAUUCCACGGGUGGGCGGGUGAAACUGUUUGAGAACUCUUCCCGAGGCAUCAAAAGUAGCACCUCUGAGUUUUCAAUGUACUUGUCCUGGCUCCGCAGCCACCCGGCAGAGGGCCAGCCCCUUUGCUCUCUAGAACCCUCAGCCCUCUGGAGGGAAUUCCUCUGCCCCCUGAGCUUCUCUUCCCGUGCCUUGGUCUCCAGGCCCUCUAUUCUCCCAGAAGCCCUCCUUAGAGCAUGCAACACAGAGUUGGGGUUGGGGGCGGGCACAGCACGGACUUUGAGGACAGAGUCGAAGCAUCAAAUCCUAGCUACUUAAACCGACCCUGUGUUCUUCUCUGCAGAGGGGAGCAGCUAUACCUACCUCUUAGUCUUGUUAAGAGGAGUAAAUAGGAUUAGAUCUGUAAACCAGCAGAUGCACAAUAAAUACUUCAGUAUGAUGUUUCUCUUAAAGUGUGGUGCGCAGAGGAAACUUAACAAUGAUUUAGAUGUGAUCUGAUCAGUGGAGAGUAAACCAUUUCCCUCCUCUGAGACGCUCUCUUAUUCCUUCCUGUAUAUCACCUAAAAGUAUUAGCAUUAUCUUUUGUGGGCAGCCAGACAUACCAUACUUAAAAAGUGCUGAUUUCCACUAAGUUACAGCCUUACUUAACUUGUUGACAUUUUAAGCCUAAAGUCUAAAAGAUCAAAUCAGAUGAAAUUUGAUAAGAAUAAAUGUUAUGUUGGCUUGUUGCUC
rnacentral:lncRNA from 1 species